rnacentral:rRNA from 1 species
AUUGAACGCUGGCGGCAGGCCUAACACAUGCAAGUCGAGCGGAUGAAGGGAGCUUGCUCCUGGAUUCAGCGGCGGACGGGUGAGUAAUGCCUAGGAAUCUGCCUGGUAGUGGGGGAUAACGUCCGGAAACGGGCGCUAAUACCGCAUACGUCCUGAGGGAGAAAGUGGGGGAUCUUCGGACCUCACGCUAUCAGAUGAGCCUAGGUCGGAUUAGCUAGUUGGUGGGGUAAAGGCCUACCAAGGCGACGAUCCGUAACUGGUCUGAGAGGAUGAUCAGUCACACUGGAACUGAGACACGGUCCAGACUCCUACGGGAGGCAGCAGUGGGGAAUAUUGGACAAUGGGCGAAAGCCUGAUCCAGCCAUGCCGCGUGUGUGAAGAAGGUCUUCGGAUUGUAAAACACUUUAAGUUGGGAGGAAGAACAGUAAGUUAAUACCUUGCUGUUUUGACGUUACCAACAGAAUAAGCACCGGCUAACUUCGUG